GACGAACGCUGGCGGCGUGCUUAACACAUGCAAGUCGAACGGAAAGGCCCUGCUUUUGUGGGGUGCUCGAGUGGCGAACGGGUGAGUAACAAGUGAGUAACCUGCCCUUGACUUUGGGAUAACUUCAGGAAACUGGGGCUAAUACCGGAUAGGAGCUCCUGCUGCAUGGUGGGGGUUGGAAAGUUUCGGCGGUUGGGGAUGGACUCGCGGCUUAUCAGCUUGUUGGUGGGGUAGUGGCUUACCAAGGCUUUGACGGGUAGCCGGCCUGAGAGGGUGACCGGCCACAUUGGGCCUGAGGUACGGACCAGACUCCUACGGGAGGCAGCAGUGGGGAAUAUUGCACAAUGGGCGGAAGCCUGAUGCAGCAACGCCGCGUGCGGGAUGACGGCCUUCGGGUUGUAAACCGCUUUCGCCUGUGACGAAGCGUGAGUGACGGUAAUGGGUAAAGAAGCACCGGCUAACUACGUG
rnacentral:rRNA from 1 species